UACGAGUGCCUCGAGCGUUGUUCGGAUUCAUUGGGCGUAAAGGGUGCGUAGGCGGCGCGGUAAGUCGGGUGUGAAAUCUCGGAGCUUAACUCCGAAACUGCAUUCGAUACUGCCGUGCUUGAGGACUGGAGAGGAGACUGGAAUUUACGGUGUAGCGGUGAAAUGCGUAGAUAUCGUAAGGAAGACCAGUGGCGAAGGCGGGUCUCUGGACAGUUCCUGACGCUGAGGCACGAAGGUCAGGGGAGCAAACGGG
rnacentral:rRNA from 1 species